AUGAUGAAAACAUUCACAUUCCCGUCCGACUCUCGACCAGGAACCAUGCUUGCUUCCUGUUUGCUGCUGAUCUUAAUGGCACUGCUGCCAGAACAUUGCCGGGGAGACUCCGUUUCACAGACCCCGGCUGCGAUCAACGUGAGUGAAGGGGGCGAUAUCCAGUUCCACUGUAAUUAUACAACUGCCAGUGACGAACCGAAACUUUUCUGGUACCGUCAGCAUUCGGAUGGUUACAUUGAGUUUCUCCUGCACAUACACAGGUACAGCGUCGAGUCGAAAAAUGAGGGGAGCCGCUUCUCGGCCACUCUCGAUCUUUCGAAGAAAACCGUCCCGCUAACUGUCUCUGAAACCCAGCUUGGAGACUAG